rnacentral:rRNA from 1 species
CCUACGGGUGGCAGCAGUGGGGAAUAUUGCGCAAUGGGCGAAAGCCUGACGCAGCCACGCCGCGUGUGUGAUGAAGGCCUUCGGGUCGUAAAGCACUGUCGGGAGGGAAGAAUCCAUGACGGUACCUCCCAAGAAAGCGCCGGCUAACCCCGUGCCAGCAGCCGCGGUAAUACGGGGGGCGCAAGCGUUGCUCGGAAUCACUGGGCGUAAAGCGUACGCAGGCGGCGCGUUAAGUCGGGUGUGAAAGCCCGGGGCUCAACCCCGGAAUUGCAUUCGAUACUGGCGUGCUUGAGUACGGAAGAGGGAAGCGGAAUUCCUGGUGUAGAGGUGAAAUUCGUAGAUAUCAGGAGGAACAUCAGUGGCGAAAGCGGCUUCCUGGUCCGAUACUGACGCUCAUGUACGAAAGCGUGGGGAGCAAACAGGAUUAGAUACCCUGGUAG